rnacentral:tRNA from 1 species
GGAUUAUAGCUCAGCUGGUUAGAGCGCCACGUUGACAUCGUGGAGGUCAUAGGUUCGAGUCCUACUAAUCCC